CUGAGGAGCGAAAAGCGUGGGGGAGCGAACAGGAUUAGAUACCCUGGUAGUCCACCGCCGUAAACGGUGGAUGCUGGAUGUGGGGCCCCGUUCCACGGGUUCCGUGUCGGAGCUAAACGCGUUAAGCAUCCCGCCUGGGGAGUACGGCCGCAAGGCUAAAACUCAAAGAAAUUGACGGGGGCCCGCACAAGCGGCGGAGCAUGCGGAUUAAUUCGAUGCAACGCGAAGAACCUUACCUGGGCUUGACAUGUUCCCGACAGCCGUAGAGAUAUGGCCUCCCUUCGGGGCGGGUUCACAGGUGGUGCAUGGUCGUCGUCAGCUCGUGUCGUGAGAUGUUGGGUUAAGUCCCGCAACGAGCGCAACCCUCGCCCUGUGUUGCCAGCACGUCAUGGUGGGAACUCACGGGGGACCGCCGGGGUCAACUCGGAGGAAGGUGGGGAUGACGUCAGAUCAUCAUGCCCCUUACGUCCAGGGCUUCACGCAUGCUACAAUGGCCGGUACAACGGGAUGCGACACGGCGACGUGGAGCGGAUCCCUGAAAACCGGUCUCAGUUCGGAUUGGAGUCUGCAACCCGACUCCAUGAAGGCGGAGUCGCUAGUAAUCGCGGAUCAGCAACGCCGCGGUGAAUGCGUUCCC
rnacentral:rRNA from 1 species